ACUUUUCUAGUAUAACUAAGUACAGGCGAUUUCCACUCACCUAGCCCCGACACCAUCUGGGAAAAGUA
rnacentral:tRNA from 1 species